GACGAACGCUGGCGGCGUGCUUAACACAUGCAAGUCGAACGGUAAGGCCCUUCGGGGUACACGAGUGGCGAACGGGUGAGUAACACGUGGGUGAUCUGCCCUGCACUUCGGGAUAAGCCUGGGAAACUGGGUCUAAUACCGGAUAGGACCACUGCCUGCAUGGGUGGUGGUGGAAAGCUUUUGCGGUGUGGGAUGGGCCCGCGGCCUAUCAGCUUGUUGGUGGGGUGAUGGCCUACCAAGGCGACGACGGGUAGCCGGCCUGAGAGGGUGACCGGCCACACUGGGACUGAGAUACGGCCCAGACUCCUACGGGAGGCAGCAGUGGGGAAUAUUGCACAAUGGGCGCAAGCCUGAUGCAGCGACGCCGCGUGAGGGAUGACGGGCUUCGGUCUGUAAACCUCUUUCAGUAGGGACGAAGCGCAAGUGACGGUACCUACAGAAGAAGGACCGGCCAACUACGUGCCAGCCGCCGCGGUAA
rnacentral:rRNA from 1 species